rnacentral:piRNA from 1 species
AGAGUUCCCAGCUGUUCCCAGCUUCA